GUGAGUGGCGAACGGGUGAGUAACACGUGGACAACCUGCCUCAAGGCUGGGGAUAACAUUUGGAAACAGAUGCUAAUACCGAAUAAAACUUAGUGUCGCAUGACAAAAAGUUAAAAGGCGCUUCGGCGUCACCUAGAGAUGGAUCCGCGGUGCAUUAGUUAGUUGGUGGGGUAAAGGCCUACCAAGACAAUGAUGCAUAGCCGAGUUGAGAGACUGAUCGGCCACAUUGGGACUGAGACACGGCCCAAACUCCUACGGGAGGCUGCAGUAGGGAAUCUUCCACAAUGGGCGAAAGCCUGAUGGAGCAACGCCGCGUGUGUGAUGAAGGCUUUCGGGUCGUAAAGCACUGUUGUAUGGGAAGAACAGCUAGAAUAGGAAAUGAUUUUAGUUUGACGGUACCAUACCAGAAAGGGACGGCUAAAUACGUGCCAGCAGCCGCGGUAAUACGUAUGUCCCGAGCGUUAUCCGGAUUUAUUGGGCGUAAAGCGAGCGCAGACGGUUUAUUAAGUCUGAUGUGAAAGCCCGGAGCUCACUCCGGAAUGGCAUUGGAAACUGGUUAACUUGAGUGAGUAGAGGUAAGUGGAACUCCAUGUGUGCGGUGGAAUG
rnacentral:rRNA from 1 species